GAAUUAUUUCCAGGGUUGUAAUAAAACACAAGCUAGCAGAGGAUGGUUUCGAUCCAUCGACCUCUGGGUUAUGGGCCCAGCACGCUUCCGCUGCGCCACUCUGCUGUGGCAAAAAGGGCCUUCCUGAAGGAUGUAGUCACAGUGCAGCUCACAAGCUGUGCACUGGAGAGUUGUGCCCAUGGGAUUUAGACGCUUUAGAGGAAGGUGAUUAUAUAUGUGUUGUGUUACAUCUCCAACGUUGAACUGAAACGUGGUCGCUGCAUUCUCAGCCGGGGUCUCCUUAGUCUAAUGAUUCAGGAAAACCAGCCCCGCCCCCUGCUUUUCUCCUGGUAAGAUCCAGCCAGUCUCCUGCCCCCCUCCAGGUUGAGGAUUUCCUGAUUCCCCGAGUGUCACAAACCCCCUGCGAGGGGCCCGGCGGGGCAGGGCCAGGCCCCGGGAGGAGCCGCCUCUUCCUGCCCCAGCCCAGGAACCCUUUGUUUUUGCAGCGGGGCCAUGGACGGGGCCGGGAGCGCAGCGCGGAGGCUGCUCCAGCCCUGCAGCCCGCGGGGCAGCGUGGAGGUACCAGAAAAGCAUCUGGCCCCUCUGGGAAAAGAGAGAGAAGCAGCCAAAGCCGAGGAGGAGCGGCAAAGCGAGGAGCUGCUGAAACAGACGGAAGCUGAGAGGCAGAAGAUCGUCUGGGAGUGGCAGGAGCUGCGAGGGUUUCUGGAGGGGCAGGAGCAGCGGCUGCUGUCCCGGCUGGAAGAGCUAGAGAGAGCCAUUGUCCAGAGAAGGGAUAAGGGCAUCUGCAGCCUGUCCUGGGAGAUUUCCCUGCUAAGUGAGAGAGGAGGAAAGAAGGGGCAGCAGCCGCUGAGCUAACCCCUGCAGGGUGCUGGGAGCACUGGGGGCAGCAGGGAGAACGGGAUGUUUUGGAAACCAGAGCCCGGGUUUGUGGAGCUGGAGAAGAGACUCCGAGAUUUCUCUCUGAAAAGUGCCAUCCUGCAGGAGGUGCUGCUGGGAUUCAAAGAGACUCUGCGACGGGGCUGGGGAGCAACACAGUGAAGUAAGGAAGAGAGUUCAAAAUGCAGCAGAGUAACGCCCACCUUUGGCUCCAGAUUGUCCCAGCCUCCCACACCACAGGGAAGGGAACUGGCUGUAGUGGAGCCAGUCCAGGGGCUGGUGACUUUUGAGAAGGUGGCUGUGUAUUUCACCAAGGAAGAGUGGGCUCUGCUGGACCCCCGUCAAAGAGCCCUCUGCAGAGACGUCAUGCAGGAGAAUGAUGGGAAUGUGACUUCGCUGGAACCAUCCUUCAACUCCUUGUGUGCAAGUAGCCAUCCCUGGGAUGCAAAGAGACAGUCACAGGAUUCUACCUCCCAGCAGCCAACCACACCUUCCCAGGCUUUGGCAGAACGAAUGAUGGUGCUCUACUAACUCCACUUAGUUGCACUGGGGUGCUUAGCUUCCUCAGCAUGACUUUCUUCUUUUGUCCCAUUCCUGCCUCACUUCCGCCUUUGGCAAGUCACGCAAAGGAGGCCAGCAGGAAUAGCCAGCCUUCAUAGGCCAACGACCAAGGUCAGAGGAGACCAAACCACAAGGCUUCUAAAGGUGACUGGCCUAGGUCCUCUAGCUUUCCCCUGCUGAUGCCAAGGCUUUUUCUCAGCUCAUUUCACCACCCUCUGUCAUGCAGGGGUUGGGGUUAUUGCAGGUGUUAUCCAAAAUUGGGCCAGCUAGUAAGCUUAGGAAGGACUAAUGACCCACCAGAGUUUGGCAGAAAGCAGCACGUUUAUUAUAUUUGUAUAAUAUAUCCUAUAUAAUAUAUAUGCAGAGUCAGGAUGAGCUCUACCCUGACAUCUGGUGGUGAAUUAUGGCGAGUGUGGAAAAGAGCUUUAGGGGCUGAUCUUGUUUGAAUAGGCACACCCACACUGCCUAGCAUGAGCCCACAGCAGCCCAAAAUGGUCACUUUGGCAGCUGUAGGAUCCUCAGUUUCUCUGUUAUUGGGGCAGGAGGAAUAAAGUGUUGUUACCCUGAUGAUGUGAAUCAAGGACAAUGAAACUGUUUUAUGACAGAGGGUCUCACCAUCACCUAAGUAGCACUCACUAGACAAGGGACAUGGGUUCCAACACCCAGUGAAGUAAGAGUGGUUGGGGAUAUAUAUGUGUACUUCAGGAUAUGGGUUCCUUUUCAGGUCAUUGACCACUAAUUGUGCUAUUCUCUUUUUCCACUGUUGAAUAGCAGAUCUGAUUUUGUUUCUAUUAGAAAUCUAGCUAGAGGUUGCUGAACUGAAUUCACUUUGGGCCAAUGGUGUACUGGGGCUCUUCCACUACAAGCUGAUAUUACUAAGAGCUAAAAUUGCUAGGAUGAGAUAAUUGAGUACUGUGUUAACUAGUGGGGGAGCCUGAAGAUAUAUUGCUAAGCAGCUAGUAGAGUGGAGCAGUUUGUGGGAUGGUUGGAGCAGCCCAUGGAACAGUGAGCGGAGUAGAGCAGUUUGCGGGGAUAGCUGGAGCGGCGUGGCGCGGCUGGUAGAACAGAGCCAUUUGUGGUGAAGGCUGCAGCAGAACUCCACGGAGAGGUGGGACAGUUGGCCUCGGACCACGUAAGGUGCCCCUUAACACCCCGUGUUUCCAACCAGGCUGGUGGGGGGGGGGGGGGUUAAACUCUGCAGAUAAACAUUUGAACUCUGGGGUGGCACUGACCAAGGACAGAAACUUUUGGGUUGUUGGACUUUGGGGUGAUUGGACUUAAGACCCUGAGGGGAAAAGCACACUGCCAAAGUUACUUGGAGGUGGGUCUUUUGCUCAUGGUUUGUGUUAUGAAUCCUGUUUGUGGUGUUUCCCCAACAUAAUGCCACAUUGUUUCCCUCCUUUAUUAAAAGGCUUUUGCUACACUCAGACUCCAUGCUUGUGAGAGGGGAAGUAUUGCCUCCUAGAGGUGCUCGGGGGAUGGUAUGUAAUUGUCCCAGGUCACUGGGUGGGGGCUUGAGCUGGUUUUG